rnacentral:rRNA from 1 species
GGUUAAGCGACUAAGCGUACACGGUGGAUGCCCUGGCAGUCAGAGGCGAUGAAGGACGUGCUAAUCUGCGAUAAGCGUCGGUAAGGUGAUAUGAACCGUUAUAACCGGCGAUUUCCGAAUGGGGAAACCCAGUGUGAUUCGUCACACUAUCAUUAACUGAAUCCAUAGGUUAAUGAGGCGAACCGGGGGAACUGAAACAUCUAAGUACCCCGAGGAAAAGAAAUCAACCGAGAUUCCCCCAGUAGCGGCGAGCGAACGGGGAGCAGCCCAGAGCCUGAAUCAGUGUGUGUGUUAGUGGAAGCGUCUGGAAAGGCGCGCGAUACAGGGUGACAGCCCCGUACACAAAAAUGCACAUGCUGUGAGCUCGAUGAGUAGGGCGGGACACGUGGUAUCCUGUCUGAAUAUGGGGGACCAUCCUCCAAGGCUAAAUACUCCUGACUGACCGAUAGUGAACCAGUACCGUGAGGGAAAGGCGAAAAGAACCCCGGCGAGGGGAGUGAAAAAGAACCUGAAACCGUGUACGUACAAGCAGUGGGAGCCUCUUUAUGGGGUGACUGCGUACCUUUUGUAUAAUGGGUCAGCGACUUAUAUUCUGUAGCAAGGUUAACCGAAUAGGGGAGCCGAAGGGAAACCGAGUCUUAACUGGGCGUUAAGUUGCAGGGUAUAGACCCGAAACCCGGUGAUCUAGCCAUGGGCAGGUUGAAGGUUGGGUAACACUAACUGGAGGACCGAACCGACUAAUGUUGAAAAAUUAGCGGAUGACUUGUGGCUGGGGGUGAAAGGCCAAUCAAACCGGGAGAUAGCUGGUUCUCCCCGAAAGCUAUUUAGGUAGCGCCUCGUGAAUUCAUCUCCGGGGUAGAGCACUGUUUCGGCAAGGGGUCAUCCCGACUUACCAACCCGAUGCAAACUGCGAAUACCGGAGAAUGUUAUCACGGGAGACACACGGCGGGUGCUAACGUCCGUCGUGAAGAGGGAAACAACCCAGACCGCCAGCUAAGGUCCCAAAGUCAUGGUUAAGUGGGAAACGAUGUGGGAAGGCCCAGACAGCCAGGAUGUUGGCUUAGAAGCAGCCAUCAUUUAAAGAAAGCGUAAUAGCUCACUGGUCGAGUCGGCCUGCGCGGAAGAUGUAACGGGGCUAAACCAUGCACCGAAGCUGCGGCAGCGACACUAUGUGUUGUUGGGUAGGGGAGCGUUCUGUAAGCCUGCGAAGGUGUACUGUGAGGUAUGCUGGAGGUAUCAGAAGUGCGAAUGCUGACAUAAGUAACGAUAAAGCGGGUGAAAAGCCCGCUCGCCGGAAGACCAAGGGUUCCUGUCCAACGUUAAUCGGGGCAGGGUGAGUCGACCCCUAAGGCGAGGCCGAAAGGCGUAGUCGAUGGGAAACAGGUUAAUAUUCCUGUACUUGGUGUUACUGCGAAGGGGGACGGAGAAGGCUAUGUUGGCCGGGCGACGGUUGUCCCGGUUUAAGCGUGUAGGCUGGUUUUCCAGGCAAAUCCGGAAAAUCAAGGCUGAGGCGUGAUGACGAGGCACUACGGUGCUGAAGCAACAAAUGCCCUGCUUCCAGGAAAAGCCUCUAAGCAUCAGGUAACAUCAAAUCGUACCCCAAACCGACACAGGUGGUCAGGUAGAGAAUACCAAGGCGCUUGAGAGAACUCGGGUGAAGGAACUAGGCAAAAUGGUGCCGUAACUUCGGGAGAAGGCACGCUGAUAUGUAGGUGAAGCGACUUGCUCGUGGAGCUGAAAUCAGUCGAAGAUACCAGCUGGCUGCAACUGUUUAUUAAAAACACAGCACUGUGCAAACACGAAAGUGGACGUAUACGGUGUGACGCCUGCCCGGUGCCGGAAGGUUAAUUGAUGGGGUUAGCGGUAACGCGAAGCUCUUGAUCGAAGCCCCGGUAAACGGCGGCCGUAACUAUAACGGUCCUAAGGUAGCGAAAUUCCUUGUCGGGUAAGUUCCGACCUGCACGAAUGGCGUAAUGAUGGCCAGGCUGUCUCCACCCGAGACUCAGUGAAAUUGAACUCGCUGUGAAGAUGCAGUGUACCCGCGGCAAGACGGAAAGACCCCGUGAACCUUUACUAUAGCUUGACACUGAACAUUGAGCCUUGAUGUGUAGGAUAGGUGGGAGGCUUUGAAGUGUGGACGCCAGUCUGCAUGGAGCCGACCUUGAAAUACCACCCUUUAAUGUUUGAUGUUCUAACGUUGGCCCCUGAUCGGGGUUGCGGACAGUGUCUGGUGGGUAGUUUGACUGGGGCGGUCUCCUCCUAAAGAGUAACGGAGGAGCACGAAGGUUGGCUAAUCCUGGUCGGACAUCAGGAGGUUAGUGCAAUGGCAUAAGCCAGCUUGACUGCGAGCGUGACGGCGCGAGCAGGUGCGAAAGCAGGUCAUAGUGAUCCGGUGGUUCUGAAUGGAAGGGCCAUCGCUCAACGGAUAAAAGGUACUCCGGGGAUAACAGGCUGAUACCGCCCAAGAGUUCAUAUCGACGGCGGUGUUUGGCACCUCGAUGUCGGCUCAUCACAUCCUGGGGCUGAAGUAGGUCCCAAGGGUAUGGCUGUUCGCCAUUUAAAGUGGUACGCGAGCUGGGUUUAGAACGUCGUGAGACAGUUCGGUCCCUAUCUGCCGUGGGCGCUGGAGAACUGAGGGGGGCUGCUCCUAGUACGAGAGGACCGGAGUGGACGCAUCACUGGUGUUCGGGUUGUCAUGCCAAUGGCACUGCCCGGUAGCUAAAUGCGGAAGAGAUAAGUGCUGAAAGCAUCUAAGCACGAAACUUGCCCCGAGAUGAGUUCUCCCUGACUCCUUGAGAGUCCUGAAGGAACGUUGAAGACGACGACGUUGAUAGGCCGGGUGUGUAAGCGCAGCGAUGCGUUGAGCUAACCGGUACUAAUGAACCGUGAGGCUUAACCUU